UAUAACACAGUAUUAAGCCAAGCCUUCAAUUCACACAAGCUUUUCAAUGAUUUCACAUUACGCCACACAAGGGACGAGACAUUGCAGUGUAAGACCCGCCAGGACCAGUUUGAAUUUGGCGCUUCAAUCAGUAAUGUCUAGAUACUUUGACAAUUACAGUUAUAAUGGCCUGAGAUUUAUUUUUACGCGCUUAUAAUUUUUUACAUUUAAUUUUCUAUUAGUUUAGUAUAAUAUAAAAGAAGUUGGUGCUUGUUAUUGAAAGGUAAAAGUGUCUUGUGGAUAGUUUUGCUUGCGUAUUGUGCGGAGCAGGCUGGGAGGGACGACACAGUACCAGACGUCAGACACAAGGCACUAUGUUUAAAGGGUGCUAUAAACUGGUGCUUUAUUUAACGUAUUUUCGCAGAACAAGACAGUGACAGGGGCCGUGGUGGCUGCCUGCGUGUGCUGGUGCAAGCUUGGUGCCUGCAGUGCCACCAAGGCUAAUAUUGAGCAACGGCAACCCUCCGAUCCGGCAAGCAAGUUGGCGGCAGCGAUGGCGGUGGCGGCGGCAGUGGUGGUGAGGUGGACGGCAGGGACAGAGGGGCAGUACAGGCUGCGGAUAUCAAGGAGAAGAGGAACGCACGGACAAGCAAGGUGUUAUUCGGCAGUCUGAUCCUGGACCUGCUCGGCUUGAAGGUGGUGCUGCCCGUGUGUCCUGCUCUCCUCGACUGUUACUCCAAGCACAACACCAGCGGCUUGUAUUCCUCUCAGCUCUCCUGUGUGACUUAUUACCAGCAUAUCAUCGGUUUCGCUGCGAGGUUCCAUUCUGUCUUGUUUGGUAAUUGAGUGGGUUUGUUGUUUUUUGUAUUGGUUUAUAUAUUUUUAGCUUGUUUUUAUUAUUAUUUUUUCAAAUUUUUUAUCCUUUUAUCUAUUUAUUUAUUUUUUGUUUGUUUGUUUGUUUACAGGGUGUGUGUGUGUUUGUUUGUGUUCCUGCUGUUCAAUAUUGCAGCUUGUUUUCUUUAUUAUUGUUAUUUUGUGUUUUAUUCUAUUUCAGUUUUCUGAGGGAGUCUUCAGGUGUUUUUGGGGUGUUUUGGGGUGUUUUUGGAGUGUUUUGGGGUGUUUUUGGUGUGUUGUGAAGUGUUUUGAUGUGUUUUGGGGUGGUUAAGGGGUGUUUUGAAGUGUUUUGUGGUGUUGUGGAGGUGUUUUGGGAUUUUUGGUGUGUUUUAAAGUGUUUUGGGAUGUUUUUGGAAUGUUUUGAUGUGUUUUGAGAUGUUUAGGAGUAUUUUUGGAGUAUUUUGGUGUGUUUUUGGAGUGUUUUGGGAUGUGUUUGUAGUGUUUUGGGGUGUUUUGGGGUAUUUUGAAGGUGUUUUGGUGUGUUUUUGGAGUGUUUUGGGGUAUUUUGGGAUGUUUUGGUGUGUUUUGGGUUAUUUUGAGAGUGUUUUGGUGUGUUUUUGGAGUGUUUCUGGGUAACACCCUCUUGCUGGUACUCGGUCACUCCUCAGGCAAUGACACUGGCUCUUAUUAAACACAGGUCACUUCUGUCUUCAUAAAUGCAGUAGCCAUAAAAGUGCAAAGUAGUUUUCAUGAUAUUUCAUUACUAUUAUUCUACCUUACUGUGUGGUUGUGGAUGGUUUAAUUACCACCAUAUCAUUGAUGUCGGUGGUGGUGGUGGUGGUGGUGGUGGUGUUGGGAGGGGUGAAUGGGAGAAGUCUGCUGCAACUGUGUGUGACAUGUGAUCAGGUGAAUGCUGUUCUGUUUUACUGUCUGGUAGUAGAGGAUUUGGUUGCCACCCUUGUCAGUGAUGGUGGCACUGGUAGUGGUGGUGUGAAAGACAAGUGGGUGAGUGAGUGGUGUUGUAUAAUUGUGUGUGGCAUCUCAUGUGCAGGGUCUGACAACUGUUGGUUAUCACCUUUGUUGUGUGACAUGAAGGCUACUGGUGGUGCAGUGUCUCCCAACCCUUCCUGUUCUUAGGCUGUAAUAAAGAAAUGAACUCUAUAUACUUAACUCACUUUGGAAAGGUUCAGGUGGUGUUGAGUUACUCUUCUUUCAUUUUUAGAGAUAAUUCCAUUUGGGAGAGAGCCACAACCUACAGCUCUUGUGUCACACUUUAGCUUGCGUUCCUUGUUAGCUUCAUUAGUAGCCUUACUUAAUUCACAGCUAUAUUUCAUUUAACAGACAAAUACCAGUGGUAGUAGUGGACAUAUUCUACAGUGCAAUUUUAUUAUAAUGCAUAUAUUGUUACAGAGAUUAUUCUUUUUAGGGGGACCCAAACUUUCAUCACUUUGUAACACCAGGUUUUGUGGAGAGUUUGAAGGGCCAAUGCAGAUAACAAUGCUUGGGUGCUGUGCUCCAUCGCAUUCACUUGUUGCAAUAUGAAGGUGCAGAUGUCAUUGGUGUUGUGCAAGUUACCAGUGCUCAGAGAGGUGUUGUAAGUGUAAUUGAAGUAAUGAAUUAUGAUGGGAUUAUGAUUAUGGGAUUAUGAUGUUAACAUUGAAGCAUUGCUGUGUUGCCUGGAGAGCUGUCACAAAGAGGAGUGGUGAGCCCUGUCCCUGGUGGUGAGGAACGUUCUCUCCCCAGCAAUAUAUAGUGAUAUUAUUGAACACAGAACAUUAAGGAAAAAAAGAAAUUGGGUGCUUGUGAUAGAAAAUGGCUGAACUAUGCAACUCCAUAAUUAAAAUACUACUGGGAAUUUUUCAUUGGAUGCUUCUUCAGACUUCUAACAUUUGUUCAAGCUGCAUAGGCCCUUUUAAUGCCAUUGCUCCAUGGGACUGAAAGGUUGCAGCUGGAAUUUGAGCAAGGCAGCAGGGUGCAUGAUAGGAGGCAGUGGAAGGCUGCUGCUGUUGCUGCCAUUGUAGGAGGAGGGCAGGCAUGAGGUGCUUCUCCUUGGGUGGGGGGAGAGUUUCAUAUUUUAAACCUUAAGUAAAGUUACCCUUGAAGUGACUGCUGGCGAGUUUUUAUACGGGAUUCGUGAUAUUAGGUUAUCGUGAGUUCCCCAAUGGCACAGGUGAGUGGUGUCCUCCGAUGAGUCAGGCUGUGAGGCAGAUUUCUCAUUUCCCACAGACUAGCUCACCCAGCCACCCUCCUGCUCCUUGGUUUCGACUGUUAUCACCCCCACCCUAUCCCAUUAUUAUUCCUGUAAGAGAGAAUCUAUAGGACUGUCUGGUAAAUGUAUAAACUCACACAGGAACCAGAGAUGUACCUUGAUAAUUCUGGUGAGGAGGAAGGGAGCACCAGCUGGGCUCUGAGGCUGCGGGAGGCUGGUGUAGAGCAUCACUUGUGUGUUAACAUUAUUUUUGUCCUGUAAAGUAGCCUUUUGGUUCUUUGCCUGUGUAGACCAGCAUGGCCAGUGUGCUUCCUUUCCUCACAGUAGUUAUUAAAGGUUGGUAUGGGUAUAUUUAAUAUGUUUUGUGUACAUAUUGAUAUAGUAAAAUAUACAUGGUUCCCUUCAUA